rnacentral:rRNA from 1 species
AACGUAGGAGGCAAACGUUAUCCGGAGUUACUGGGCGUAAAGGGCGUGUAGGUGGUUUCGUAAGUCUGGCGUGAAAUUUUUCGGCUUAACCGGGAAAGGUCGUCGGAUACUGCGGAACUAGAGGACGGUAGAGGCGUGUGGAAUUCCGGGUGUAGUGGUGAAAUGCGUAGAGAUCCGGAGGAACACCAGUGGCGAAGGCGACACGCUGGGCCGUACCUGACACUGAUGCGCGACAGCAUGGGGAGCAAACAGG